UCCUUCAAUGCUUUUAAUCAAGCAUUCAGAUAGCACAAAAGUCUCUGUCUCGCUGUCUCCCUAUCCCGUUCUCUCUCUCUCCCUCUCUCUCUCUCUCUCUCUCUAUCUCUCUCUCUUCCUUGUUCUCUGGUGGCCUUUCGCUGAACCGAGCAUAGAGGAAGGAUAGCUUCAGCUUAGUUAUACGAUGGGGCGGGAUCGAAGAAGAAAAGGAGGAAAACCAUUCUUGUGAUGGGUGAGGUGGUUCUGUGCUAUGCUUGGCAACAGAGCAGUCUUUUGCAGACAAUGAAUCAGAGAGCAUGCGCAAAGGACUGCUCAUUUGACAAGGGUUCGCACAGAACUUGACACCCUUUUAGUUUUAAUUUUUGACUUUCUUUGCCUGGUUUAUCCAAUUAUAUGGGAUUGACACCAUUGUUUUGAGGUA